GCAAAGACGAAGAGAAAACUUUAUCAAUUAUUAGAUCUGGUGGUAUACAGUUUUCAAUUGAGCUAAAACAGUCCGACGCAAGGACAUGAAAUAAAAAAGCCGAACUGCUAUUUGCAUUCUCAUCAGUUUUAGAGCUGACAGGUGUAAGUAAAGAUAGAGACAUAAUAUCUUCAAGAUUAGUCAUAUUUUGUUUAGGGUAUAUUUGAGCAUAAAAAGUCAUAACAGAGUCAUAAUACGUAGAUAAUU